rnacentral:rRNA from 1 species
GAUGAACGCUGGCGGCGUGCCUAAUACAUGCGAGUCGAGCGAACAGACGAGGAGCUUGCUCCUCUGACGUUAGCGGCGGACGGGUGAGUAACACGUGGAUAACCUACCUAUAAGACUGGGAUAACUUCGGGAAACCGGAUCUAAUACCGGAUAAUAUAUUGAACCGCAUGGUUCAAUAGUGAAAGACGGUUUUGCUGUCACUUAUAGAUGGAUCCGCGCCGCAUUAGCUAGUUGGUAAGGUAACGGCUUACCAAGGCAACGAUGCGUAGCCGACCUGAGAGGGUGAUCGGCCACACUGGAACUGAGACACGGUCCAGACUCCUACGGGAGGCAGCAGUAGGGAAUCUUCCGCAAUGGGCGAAAGCCUGACGGAGCAACGCCGCGUGAGUGAUGAAGGUCUUCGGAUCGUAAAACUCUGUUAUUAGGGAAGAACAAAUGUGUAAGUAACUAUGCACGUCUUGACGGUACCUAAUCAGAAAGCAACGGCUAACUACGUG